GACGAACGCUGGCGGCGUGCUUAACACAUGCAAGUCGAGCGGAAAGGCCCUUCGGGGUACUCGAGCGGCGAACGGGUGAGUAACACGUGAGUAAUCUGCCCCUCACUCUGGGAUAGCCACCGGAAACGGUGAUUAAUACCGGAUACGACCAAUCCCUGCAUGGGGUGUUGGUGGAAACUUUUUUGGGUGGGGGAUGUGCUCGCGGCCUAUCAGCUUGUUGGUGGGGUAAUGGCCUACCAAGGCUUCGACGGGUAGCCGGCCUGAGAGGGUGACCGGCCACACUGGGACUGGGACACGGCCCAGACUCCUACGGGAGGCAGCAGUGGGGAAUAUUGGACAAUGGGCGGAAGCCUGAUCCAGCAACGCCGCGUGAGGGAUGACGGCCUUCGGGUUGUAAACCUCUUUCAGCACCGACGAAGCGCAAGUGACGGUAGGUGCAGAAGAAGGACCGGCCAACUACGUGCCAGCCGCCGCAUAAGAC
rnacentral:rRNA from 1 species